AAAUUCCUAUGCACUUUUUGUUGCAGUGCUGGUACCUGUGCCAGCUGUCUCAUGCUUGUUAUGUGCCCAUAAGAUGUUACAGGGAGAAGCUGUAGCCAGUGUCAAGGGAUUGCAAGGAGGGGUGAAGGAAUCAAUCCUUCAUUCUUUAGGAAGAAAGGAAACAGAAGUACUGAGAUGAGUUUACACUACUUCUGCUGCUAUGGGUUUAUGGCACAUUGUAAUACAGUUAUUUACAAGCAGGAACUCAGCAGGCUGUUAAAAAAUGGCAGCAGAGGGCUGAAUAAGUUAGCCCUCUUCAUGAAAGACAACGGAUUUAGUUUGUCCCCAAGCUGGUAGGGAUCUCAUUCUGUGAUAAGGUAAAUAAACAAAUUGUGGGUAGAAUAAUUAUACACACAUCCACGUUGAGACAGUCUGACUGGCGAGGUAUCUGGCUGUUGUGUAAGAAUCUCUAACCAAAUACUGAAUUCUAAUUGACUUUCACAAGUCAAUUCAUACUGGGUUUCACAAAGGCAGUUGUCAAUGCUCUGUGGUUGAACAGCUUAUUGAAUUAGGUGAAAGUCACUCACCAUUCUGAGCAGACUGCAUUCUGAAAGUACACAUGAAACAGCUAAAAAAUCCCAUCAAAUAUAAUUUAGCAGGGAAAGGAUUUAUAAAGAUUUCAUUGUAAAUAAAAGCAUAUUGUUCUGAUUUUACUUUCAUUGUUCUGUAAAAUUAGGAUGACUUAUAAAUAAUGAACAAAUGAAUUUUUUUUAUUGAACAUAAAUUAUUUUUUUCUUUACAAAUGGCUGCAUAGAUAAAAUACUAUUUAUAUAUUUCGGAAAGCUGUGGGAGAGCUGUGGAGAGUUCUGUUUAAAUCACCCCAAGUGAUUUAUAAAUCACUUCUAAAUUGUUUAAAUCAUCUCCAGCUCAUAAGAUAGGAAACUCUUUUUGUUAGAGAAGCAGCUAACUAUGUCUUUUCAUACUUGAAAUAUCUGAUGCUUUGAAUAAUACAUGACAUUUGAAUGCUUAUUUUGCACUUGGGACCCAGAUCAUCUACUAAUCUUUAGGGAUAUCGGGACUUGACACCCAGCUGAGCAGCUUGCUUUAUGCAGUAGCCAGCUCCAAGCAACUUAAAGAACAUCACCUGUGAGGGUCACUUCUAAAUCUUCCUGUCUUCAAAGUUAAAUUAUUUAAACAAAUACUAUAGGUUUGCAAUAAGAUGAAAAAUGUGUGUUUAAGGAAGCUUUCUGAAUGGCUUAGUGAGAAGCAAAUUGACUAUGAUUGACUGGAAAUGAAACUAGGUGCUAUGAUGGUACGUUUUUGCUGUGGAAGUGUGAGCCUGUUGUUACUCAGGAAUGACAGACUUCAUUGUCAGGAAAAACAAAAGAUUCUACAGAGCAAGGAGUUUCUGACAGUGCCAACCAGCACCAUUUGUUUUGCAGGUCAGCACAGCCUUCAGUCAUGUUUCUGAGUUUCAUAUUGGAUGCUCUCAUUACUGUUUUCUUUUCACUGACUCAUCUGGAAAAUGUAGAGAUCCUGAGCAGUUUAUAGCAACUAAUCCCUUGGGCUAGGAAAUACAGCACAAAACAAUGCAGAUCACAGACCCCCUUAAUCCUUUUAUGACAUCCAUCUUUAAUGUGCAUCAUGAUGGCACACAAGAAACCUGACUGCAGAGUAGUCAUGCAUACAGAGCACAUGUCACCAGUUGCUCAAAAGUGGGCCUGUGGCUAUUUCAGGCUGAGUGGGUCCCAGCUUGCUGUCCGGCAAACCAGUCUCAUUCCAUAUUGAUUUGUGAUGAGGCAACAGGGCAAAAGAAAGCAAAAAGAACAGGAAAAAAGUAGCCCAAAAAGGAGAAGCCCUUGACCUCCUUCCUUUAUGUGGCAGCCUGGUUUGGCUGAAGGGUGAGUGUUGUAAUAUAGAUGAAAGUAAUUUCUCUAAUACAAGGAGUAUACAUGUAUUUCUAGUCCCUCUCAGUGUGGAAUUUGCUUACUAGAUUUGGAUAGUUAACACAUUGUGGCAGGAGUCACGAUUCAGCAGAAAAUAUUUUCUAGUUGAAAAACCAGCGUGACCAAGAGCUGGUGCAAACCAAACACAAGCAGAAAGUUUGUUUGCCCACCCUCUCUUAAUGCCUCACUCCUGAUAUGGUCCAGACUCCAAUAUUCAGCCCAUUCCUCUGUUCAGAAUGGUUCAAGCCUGUCCUGUGCUGUUUACACAAGUACAAUGCUCACCCUCUGCCAAGGAUGAGCAAUUUUCAGCACUGCUGAUUCUGAUACGCUCUUCAAAAGAAAGGUUCUGAUGGUCACAGCUACUGAGGGCAGCUGUGUUACACUGUGCCAGAAACACAUGUAACACACUUGAAACAUGUAUGUAAGUUGAUAAUGUGGUAACAAAUCACUAUCUUAUAAGAACCAAAAUUGCCAGUUAACCUUGCUAUAAUUGCAAGCAGCUUAUGUGCAGAAGGUCUAAUGUGGAGAGCAAAAGAUCAUUUAGAAGAAAGAUGUUAGGACAGUCAGCUCUUUAUUUUUCAUCUUCUGAUGCAUGUGCUUCCAUCUGUCUUGCCAUGGAAUGCUGUCCAUCAAAAUAGUUUUCCAGACAGGACUUCCUAAGACGUUGAUUUAUAAAUCAGGUACAAAUUUGCACAAGAUCACUCUGACUCAGCUUUGAAUCUGACCUAAAAGUAUUUCUUGUCAUAUGGAAGCAAAUUAUGGUGCAGCAAUAAAACAACAGAAACAUUGCUGAGAAACAUUGGUGCUAUUCUUGGCUCUGGGGUGCUGCUGGAAUGUCACAAACAACUGACAGAACAGAAACUCGUGUCUAAAAGAAAAUAGGAAACCAGUAGCUUAGAUUGUCUGUAUUUAUUAAAAUACACUCUGCCUGGAUUGUGAAAAAACAAGGUAGUUUUGGCCAUCUUUUUUACACAGAAGCAUGAUCACCAGUACAAAACCUGCCGUCUUCAAAGGAUGACUGGUACUGAGAUCUACCAAAUGAAGUGGCUUUAGCAUGUCAUAAUCUAAUUUUAAAAGUGAGAUUUUAAAGUUAAUAUUCCCUUCCGUUCAAAUAAUCAUCUGGAAAUCUGAGCAGGGUAUUUUUUAUAUACUUUUAUGUACACUCUAUCUAUUUUUACUCUCCACAGAAGGAAAGACAAGAAAGGUGAAGGAUGGGUGCGGGGACAUCAGCCCAGAUCUGGAAAUGCUUUGCAUUAUCUGGUAAUCUCGUAUGCAUUAUAUGCAAACACAUAGCAAUCCUUCAAUGCUGAAAGAUCUGCAAACAUUUCAAAGAUGACAACUUUAAUUCCAGUACAAAGUACAUUCCCAAAUGCAACUCAUGUCCAGAAGAUAUCAAGAAGAUAGGUGCUGUGGUUUGUCUUUGGGGUAUUUUUUUAAAAUUACAUUACAUUAUUCAUAGACCAGUAUAAUGGUUCUUUGGGGAGGAGAUGGUUGAGGUUUUUUUCCUUGGGGACUUAAUAAAACCUCUGAGGAUGGCCAAAAAACACAAAAACAACAAUUAAUCUGAAGUGAUUCAAACUCUGGAGAAUACUUUUUCCUUUCUACAUCCUCUCUCCUUUGGUACGGCUCCUGGCAGAGAAGGUUAAAAGUUUUUUGCUAUGGACAAGGAUACAGUAAAGUCCUGGAAGAGUAACGCGUUAGGUCUACCAAUCUUCCUAUGUAUGAAGCA